UAUAAUUUACUUGAUCUUGACACAAUCCUACUUGGAUAACUGUGGUAAUUCUAGAGCUAAUACAUGCAUUAAAGCUCUGACCUCACGGGAAGAGUGCAUUUAUUAGAACAAAACCAAGCGGCUUCGGCUGUUUCUGGUUGACUCAUAGUAACUGAGCUGAUCGCAUGGUCUUGCACCGGCGACGUGUCUUUCAAGUAUCUGCCGUAUCAACUUUCGAUGGUAGUGUAUCUGACUACCAUGGUGAUCACGCGUAACGGAGAAUAAGGGUUCGGCUCCGGAGAGUUCGCCUGAGAAAUCGCGAACACAUCUAAGGAAGGCAGCAGGCGCGAAAAUUACCCACUCUCAGCACGAGGAGGUAGUGACGAAAAAUAACGAGACCGUUCUCUUAUGAGGCCGGUCAUCGGAAUGGGUACAAUUUAAACCCUUUAACGAGUAUCUAUGAGAGGGCAAGUCUGGUGCCAGCAGCCGCGGUAAUUCCAGCUCUCAAAGUGCAUAGAAUUAUUGCUGCGGUUAAAAAGCUCGUAGUUGGAUCUGUGCCAUAGGACGUGGUCCACCUUCGGGUGCGUACUACGCUCCUAGGCUUUUUGCUGGUUUUCCCGUCGUAGCCUUCACUGGUUGCGGCGGGUGGCUGGCGAGUUUACUUUGAGAAAAUCAGAGUGCUCAAUACAGGCGUAUCGCUUGAAUGAUUGUGCACGGAAUAAUAGAAAAGGAUUUCGGUCCUCUUUUAUUGGUUUUGUGGACUGAGAUAAUGGUUAACAGGGACAAACGGGGGCAUUCGUAUCUCUGCGUGAGAGGUGAAAUUCUUGGACCGUAGAGAGACGCCCUACUGCGAAAGCAUUUGCCAAGAAUGUCUUCAUUAAUCAAGAACGAAAGUCAGAGGUUCGAA
rnacentral:rRNA from 1 species